rnacentral:rRNA from 1 species
AUGGCUCGAGGACGAACGCUGGCGGCGUGCCUAAUACAUGCAAGUCGAACGGUCUUUUCUAUGGAAGCUUGCUUCCACUGAGAAGAUAGUGGCGAACGGGUGAGUAACACGUGGGUAACCUGCCCAUAAGAGGGGGAUAACAUCCGGAAACGGGUGCUAAUACCGCAUAGUUUUCUUGAUCGCAUGAUCGGGAAAGGAAAGACGGCCUUUGUGCUGUCGCUUAUGGAUGGACCCGCGGCGUAUUAGUUAGUUGGUGAGGUAACGGCUCACCAAGACGAUGAUACGUAGCCGACCUGAGAGGGUGAUCGGCCACAUUGGGACUGAGACACGGCCCAAACUCCUACGGGAGGCAGCAGUAGGGAAUCUUCCGCAAUGGACGAAAGUCUGACGGAGCAACGCCGCGUGAGUGAAAGAAGGUUUUCGGAUCGUAAAACUCUGUUGUCAGAGAAGAACAAGUUGGAGAGUAACUGCUCCAGCCUUGACGGUAUCUGACCAGAAAGCCACGGCUAACUACGUGCCAGCCGCCGC